rnacentral:rRNA from 1 species
AUUGAACGCUGGCGGCAGGCUUAACACAUGCAAGUCGAGCGGAGAUGAGGUGCUUGCACCUUAUCUUAGCGGCGGACGGGUGAGUAAUGCUUAGGAAUCUGCCUAUUAGUGGGGGACAACAUUCCGAAAGGAAUGCUAAUACCGCAUACGUCCUACGGGAGAAAGCAGGGGACCUUCGGGCCUUGCGCUAAUAGAUGAGACUAAGUCGGUUUAGCUAGUUGGUGGGGUAAAGGCCUACCAAGGCGACGAUCGGUAGCGGGUCUGAGAGGAUGAUCCGCCACACUGGGACUGAGACACGGCCCAGACUCCUACGGGAGGCAGCAGUGGGGAAUAUUGGACAAUGGGCGGAAGCCUGAUCCAGCCAUGCCGCGUGUGUGAAGAAGGCCUUUUGGUUGUAAAGCACUUUAAGCGAGGAGGAGGCUACUUAGAUUAAUACUCUAGGAUAGUGGACGUUACUCGCAGAAUAAGCACCGGCUAACUCUGUGCCAGCAGCCGCGGUAAGAC